ensembl:piRNA 21ur-5436 ncRNA
UCAUCAAUGUUUUCGACGCAA